AAUAAUAUUUAAUUGGCAUAACAAUUGCAUGAGGUUUUUUACACUAUAAGUGAUCAAACAAGUUUAUAUUUUGUUACAAGAAAAAAAAUGGCUGAAUUUCUCAAAUCUGUUUUUAUAGUGACCCUUUUUGUUUCUCUAUUUCUAGUUGUAAUCAAAGGUGCAGGUAAGCUCAUUCUAAUUUUUAUUUUUUCCUUAUCUUAUACACAAUUGUUCACAAUUUUUUAGUAAUAUUUUUGUAUUCUUUGUUUACACUACAGAAAUGGAAUGUGUUAGAAAAGAAGAUUGUUACGAAAAGCUUCCAUAUCUUCGUCGUAUAAGAAUGAUUUGCGUAAAAGGUUAUUGUAAAUAUAGGGCCCGUUUGGAAUAGCUUAUUUUUGAACUUAUGUUAAACAGUUUAGACAAAUAAAUAAUUUUUUAUAUAUUAUUACUAUUUUUAAAAUUGCUACUUUUAAUUCUUAACGCCGGCUUAUUCGGCCAUCUAGUGUGAUUAUAUUGGAUCACGUAUGAUAUUAAGGGAUUAAAAGUAAGAUCUUUUUGAAUUUGCAGGUACUGAUUCCAAACUAAAACACUUACAGAGACUAAAUAAAAAAAUUGUACAAUUACAGUGUCCAAAAUUAUUUUUAAACCUAUCUUUAUGUGUAUACCCCUUUAAAUGACGCAAAAUGUAUUUCACCCCAUGUUAAUUUUUUGUGAGUUUCUCUAGUAUGAAUUAUACACAUGCUAUCCUUAGAACGAGACUAGGAGAGUAGAUCGAGGUGUUUGUACAAGAAGAUAUAUAAAGUAGAAAAUUAUUCUUUUACCUAUGUUUUGGUGUUCUUGAAACCUUGUUGGAUAAUUGUUUACGUUUAAAUUGGGUUGUAAGGCUUUGAAUUUGAUAAUGUGAUAUUGAGAAAACAUUACAUAUAUUAUUUUAUUAUGAGAAUAAUUGUAAGGCUAGUCAGAAUAUUUUAUUUUGUUUUUACUAUUAAUAAAAAUAAAUCUUACCUAUUUUUUUAGAUAAUUUCUAUAAUAAAUAUUUUGUGAUUUAAGGUGUCACACUUAUUAAUAUGGUGGACAAAGUUGGUAAUAUUAUUAUAUGACCCUCUUUCAAGAAAAUAACCUAUUUUAAUUAUGGAAAAUGCUAAACAGUGCUCCCGUAGCACUAGUUAAUCAUAUAAAUAAGGAAAUUCUGUCUUGUAACUUGUGCAUUCAAUAAAUUGAAAGUUUAAAAAGUUAUCUUAUCAACAUUAACUUUAUAUUUUAUUUCUAUUUUUGGUAUGCUUAAUAAGUGCCCCGAGGCAUCGUUUAGUAUGACCAAUUAAUUAUUAGUGUCACUCAUUUGGAAGGCAACGCAAUCAUUAUAAAAAAGAAGAAAGAAGACGGAUGUCCAACGGCUAACUCGAGGAUUAGUCUCAUAUUGAAUCCAAAAAUUCUAUGUAGGGUUGUACAUGGAUCAUAUUGAAUGGAUUUUUGCUAAAAUGGCAAAUCAAACCAUGUAAAAAGAACACCAGUUUGGAUCUAGUUUAAAAAUCCAACUGCUAAUUCGGGUUAGGUCAAACUGCCAAUUUCUAGGUUGGGUUGGGGUUGAUGUUCGAGGAUUAUUGUAAUUUUCUAAAUGAUGGUAGUAACAUUAAUGUCAUGAGUGAUCCAUGGUUGAGGAACAAUUUAAUUGUCCAACAAUUAAUCAUAUGGGUAAAAUUCAUUCAGUUUUUCCAAAGAGGUGGUAAAUUCUAUUAUUGUUGUCCCGUUGUUAGACUUAGUACGAGAGGACAAAUUGAUUUGGAGCCAAGAAAGUGAUGGGGUGUACUCACCUCGGUACGACCAGGAUAUCAUAAACUCAUGAAGGAGAGACAUUUAGGAUAUAGGCCGAGGAAAGGUGAGUAUUGGGGUUGUUUAUGAAAAAUACUUAUGCCCCGAACACUUAAUGAAGAAUUUGUAAGGAAUGCUUACCGACCGGAACGUGCUUGAGAAACCGUCAUGUCCAAUGUCCGGUUGAGUGCCCUUUAUGUUUAUGACAUUGUGAAGAAGAUUGGCGUGUGUUAUUUGAUUGUGAAGCCAUUAGAGAAGCUUGGAAUACCAUAUGGGGCUGUACCAAACCAUACAUUCACGCAUGAACAAUUUUGAUAAUGCUAGAGACUUAGUUUUUGACAUUUGCAGGAAGGAGAACAAAUCAAUUAAAUGGCACAACAAGUUGGAAUGUAAGCGAAGAACAACAACAAGAACAGCAGGCCAAUACGCACAACAGUGGCUGCAGCCACCUCCCGACUACUUAAAAUGCAAUGUUGACGCAAACUUUUAUGACAUAGCUGAAGCAACGGGAUGGGGUGGUGUUUACUUGAUCACCGAGGCCGCUUUAUACUAUAGUUUGAACUAAUCUCAUGAAUACCAAACUCACACAUUGGAGGGAGAAGUCACGACAAUUAUGGAAGCAAUUGAAGUAAAGAUGCAAAGAGGCUUAUUCCAAGUCUUUCUUUAAAGUGGCUCAAAAAUUAUGGUUGAUGUUAUGGAGUAUCUUAGUUUAGUAUUUUGAUUUCUCACAUUAAGUUUAUUAUUGUUGAAUAACAACUUUGAGGUCAAGUUUGUUAAGGGACAAACAAAUAUGGUUGUUUACUUCUUAGCAAGGACUUAAUGUGAAGGAAUCAACUCUGAUAGGUUGCUCCUUAAUACGUUGAUUCCUAUUCUAUGUCUAAUCACCGUAUUUUCGAGUUGAUUCCUUGUUGUAUUGAUACUUAUUUGAU
rnacentral:lncRNA from 1 species